UUCCUGUUGCCUAGAGAAGGGAGGGAUUAAGUGACUUGGCCAAGGUUACAUGUAGCCAUUAUUGCAUCAAACACAGAGCUUGAACCCAGGUCCUUUUGCCUCUAAGGCCAGCUCUCUAGUCACUCUGCCCCUCACUGCCUCUAUACAUCCAGAAGAAUCCUCUCAGUGGCAGUUCUUGUCCUUGUUUGAGGAAAGCUACCAGGGAGCUGGUUUAGUCAGACCAUGACAAAGCAUGUCCUGAAGUGACAGCUGAAUGUCUGAGGGCACACCAGAGUGUCUGAAGGCACCAUGGCUGCCACGGGCCCAGUUUUAUCCUUUGUGGAAACACGUCUCCAGAAAAGCAUCGUCCAGAGCCUCAGAGUUCCAGGGCUGGUGUUGGGUGUUUCGUGGGACAGAGAGCUUAGACAUGGUAGACUUCAACUUUGAAUUCUAAAAGAAAAAGAAUGGGCAGGUAUGAAGGCUGAUCCAUUCUCAGUUAAUUUAAGGAUUGUGGAAAACACAAGAGGUACCAAGAGAGCUACAAGGAGCAAAGAUUCCAAUUUUUUAAAAUAGGAAGAAAAAAAACAGUCAAUACACUGCAGGUGAAUGAUUUUAAUUUUGCUUGAUUUUGAUGCCUGGGAAAUUUCUUGAGUGAUUUCAUUAAAAAUUAGUGGGCAAAUGUCUAGAAAGAGAAUUAUUGAUUAAUCAAAUCUAUUAUGGUUUCCUUAACAAAUCAUGAGAAACUAAGACCAUUUCCUGUUUUAAGAAUUGAUAAAUUAAUUGAUGAGGGGGAGCCUCUGACUAUUGUUUACCUAAAUGGAUAAGAUGGCAAGAUGUGAAUUAGACUUUACUACAAAUAGAUAGAUUCAGAACUGUUGGAUAGUUGGACUCAGAAGCUGUAAUCAUUCAAUAUCAAAGUGGUAGAAAGGCUUCAAUGGAGAACUCCAGAGAUUUAUGCUUGGCCCUCUACUAUUUCACAGUUUCAUAAAUGGUUAGGCUAAAGGUCUGCUAUGAUUAUUAAAUUUCAAUGUGACCCAAAGCUUACAGACUUGCCUAACAUACCAGAUGAUAAAGACAAGAUCCAAAAAGAUUUUGACAGUCUGGAGCUUUGAGAAGAUACCAAUGAGAUGGAAAUCAAAAGGAUAAAUGUAAAGUCUUACACUUGGGUCUCAAAAUCAGUAUCAUAGGAACAAGAGGCUCCUGUUCUGAAGCACUUCUGGGGAUUUUACUGGACAAUCACCUCAGUAUGGUUAGUGUGAUAUUGUAGUCAAAAAAGCUACUGCACCUUGGGUUGUAUCAAAAGGGACAAAGCUUCCAGGAAUAGUGACUCUUGCUCUUCUCUGCCUUGUCAGACCUGAUUGGGAGUAUCCUGCUCAUUACUGAACAUGACAGUUUAAGAAGAACAUCUGUAAGCUGGAGAAUGACCUUAAGGGGGCAGAAGGUUGGUAAAGGGCCUCGAGACCUUGACUCUAUGCAAUUUAAUAACCCAUUUGGAAAACUGGUUAUUCUUAGUCUAAAGAAGAAUAAAUUGGCAUGAGUUUGGGGGAGACA
rnacentral:lncRNA from 1 species